CCCCCACCUCCCCACUUUUAGGAACAUGGCCUCCCAGCUACAGACUACAUUUACCAGCAUCCCUUGAAGCUAAGUAUGUUCAUGUGAUGAGAUUCUGGGCAACGGAGGAGGAGUGGAAUUUAUAUGUCACUUCCUUGAAGACACCUGCCAUGAACUCUUUCUCCAGCAGCGCUGAGGAGUGCGACAUUCAGGAAAUGGCAAUGCGGCAGUAAGGAAGGAAUCUGUGCCCUUUAAUGACCUAGAGGAGUAGAUCCACUUCGCCACCUGGACCGGCCAGACUAAUGUGGCCCGGACUCUCAGCUGGACUGACAGGCAAAAUAUCUGUGUCCGUGUACGUUAUUCAUCUGUCACUGGGUCAAGGUCUCCGGGACAGACCCCCUACAGCUGGCGCUCCGUGUGAGGAAUGCUGCGAAGGAUCACGACGGACCCCCCAAAAUGAAGGUGAAAAGGACCGCAGAGUCAGUGAGUCAGAUACAAAGCUGGAAUAAGAGGAAUGACCACUUCGUCUGACAGACCUGUUGCUGCACACAUCUGUACCCUUCGGUCAACAGAACCCGAUGCAAAGAACAGAAAAGGGAGAGAUGUGGGAGUUCAGACAGGCUGGUGGCGUGUCCAGAAUUUAUUCCUUCCGGCCUAUAUCACCCAAACCUGAAAAGGGAAAGAAGGAUGUGAAGAAAAUAAUAUAGGAGGAAGAAGAAUGAAGAAACAGCGGGCAAGAAAAAGAAGAAGACUAGAAAGAGAAGAUGAAGCAGGAUAAAGUGGAGGAGAAAUAGCUUUACUGAAUGGAAGUAUGUCUGUUACUUCUGCUCUUCCAACAACAACAACAACAACAAAAAGCCCAAGGAUGCUGCUAAAUAUCUUAAAAGGUACAAGCAAAUAGUUAUGAUAGUUUUA
rnacentral:lncRNA from 10 species